AAACCAUGCAUUGGGCAUUUAUACAGAAAAUCUUUAAAUCGCUCCCAAGCUUUAUACAAAUUUUCAUCUUCUAAUUGCUUGAAAGAUACAAUGUCAUUUCGGAACUU